AUCACCAAAGUUAAGCAAGGUUGAGCCUGGUCAGUACCUCGAUGGGUGACUAUUUGGGAAUACCAGGUGCUGUAAG